CGUCUGUCGCAGCAAUUAAAUUCGAAUCAAAAAUGAAUUACCUAUACAAAUGUACAAUGAUGUACCUACAGUGAUUGAAUCAUUAAAAAAAAAUGCUGCUGCUACUCGCACUACUCGCGCAAGUGAACGCGUUUCAAAAUGCGUACGAUGUUUUUCCAGAACGUAUGGAAGUCGAAUAUUACGAUCCCACCAUUUUGAACGUUUCCUGCACUAACUAAAAGUAUAACCGAACAACGCGUACGUUUAUUUUAACGGCAACGUUGAAGAUUGAUGCAACUGAUGGAGAUCUCGUUUUGAUAACGGGUUACAAAUGGCUGAGUAAUCGUUAUCGCCUGGACAUCCUUCAAUUCAACUUGACACUCAAAGAUGCAAUUCGCUUCAAGUACUUUGAUAUAGAUCGCAUGAUGCAAUCCUGUACGACACCUCGCAUCGAAUGGCCUGUCAUUAAAGGGGUUAAACAUACAUUAAGGGAUUGGGUGCCUGACAGUUCUAAGUUUCCUCCGGGCAUGCCAGAGGGAAGGUGGAAAAUAGGGAUGCGAUUUUUUUCGUUCAACGGGAUACAUAUCAUGUCUCUUAACUGGUACUGUGCCCUGAAAUACAAGCUUAAAAUGGAAUGGAAGUAAUGCGAUAACCACAUAAUAUUCCUAUUUACACUUUAAAUACUAGUAGGAUAGCAAGUUGUGGUGUUUUAAUGUUAGUAAUAGUAAAACACAAAGUUUGUAUCUACAGUAAGUGCACACGCCACCCACAUAACACCUUCACGCCUCCGUACGCGGUCAUAUAGUUUGAUAUUCGUGUGUGUAAAUAAAUAAAGUUAGUUUGCCCACCAGUGUAAUAUUUAUGUA